rnacentral:rRNA from 1 species
AGAGUUUGAUCCUGGCUCAGGAUGAACGCUGGCGGCGUGCUUAACACAUGCAAGUCGAACGAACCUUCGGGUUAGUGGCGGACGGGUGAGUAACGCGUGAGAAUCUGCCCUCAGGAGGGGGAUAACGGUUGGAAACGACCGCUAAUACCCCAUAUGCCUACUGGUGAAAUGAAUUUCUCCUGAGGAUGAGCUCGCGUCUGAUUAGCUAGUUGGUGAGGUAAUGGCUCACCAAGGCUUCGAUCAGUAGCUGGUCUGAGAGGAUGAUCAGCCACACUGGGACUGAGACACGGCCCAGACUCCUACGGGAGGCAGCAGUGGGGAAUUUUCCGCAAUGGGCGAAAGCCUGACGGAGCAACGCCGCGUGAGGGACGAAGGCCUCUGGGCUGUAAACCUCUUUUCUCAAGGAAGAAGAUAUGACGGUACUUGAGGAAUAAGCCACGGCUAAUUCCGUGCCAGCAGCCGCGGUAAUACGGGAGUGGCAAGCGUUAUCCGGAAUUAUUGGGCGUAAAGCGUCCGCAGGCGGCUUUUCAAGUCUGCUGUUAAAGCGUGGAGCUUAACUCCAUCAUGGCAGUGGAAACUGAAAGGCUUGAGUAUGGUAGGGGCAGAGGGAAUUCCCGGUGUAGCGGUGAAAUGCGUAGAUAUCGGGAAGAACACCAGUGGCGAAGGCGCUCUGCUGGGCCAUUACUGACGCUCAUGGACGAAAGCCAGGGGAGCGAAAGGGAUUAGAUACCCCUGUAGUCCUGGCCGUAAACGAUGAACACUAGGUGUCGGGGGAAUCGACCCCUUCGGUGUCGUAGCUAACGCGUUAAGUGUUCCGCCUGGGGAGUACGCACGCAAGUGUGAAACUCAAAGGAAUUGACGGGGGCCCGCACAAGCGGUGGAGUAUGUGGUUUAAUUCGAUGCAACGCGAAGAACCUUACCAGGGUUUGACAUCCUGCGAACCUCUUAGAAAUUUGAGGGUGCCUUCGGGAAUGCAGUGACAGGUGGUGCAUGGCUGUCGUCAGCUCGUGUCGUGAGAUGUUGGGUUAAGUCCCGCAACGAGCGCAACCCACGUUUUUAGUUGCCAGCAUUUAGUUGGGCACUCUAGAAAGACCGCCGGUGAUAAACCGGAGGAAGGUGUGGAUGACGUCAAGUCAUCAUGCCCCUUACACCCUGGGCUACACACGUACUACAAUGCUACGGACAAAGGGCAGCAAACUCGCGAGAGCUAGCAAAUCCCAUAAACCGUGGCUCAGUUCAGAUCGUAGGCUGCAACUCGCCUACGUGAAGUAGGAAUCGCUAGUAAUCGCAGGUCAGCAUACUGCGGUGAAUACGUUCCCGGGCCUUGUACACACCGCCCGUCACACCAUGGAAGUUGGCCAUGCCCGAAGUCGUUACUCCAACCCUUGUGGAGGAGGACGCCGAAGGUGGGGCUAAUGACUGGGGUGAAGUCGUAACAAGGUAGCCGUACCGGAAGGUGCGGCUG